AGAGUUUGAUCCUGGCUCAGGACGAACGCUGGCGGCGUGCCUAAUACAUGCAAGUAGAACGCUGAAGAGAGGAGCUUGCUCUUCUUGGAUGAGUUGCGAACGGGUGAGUAACGCGUAGGUAACCUGCCUUGUAGCGGGGGAUAACUGUUGGAAACGAUAGCUAAUACCGCAUAACAAUGGAUGACCCAUGUCAUUUAUUUGAAAGGGGCAAAUGCUCCACUACAAGAUGGACCUGCGUUGUAUUAGCUAGUAGGUGAGGUAACGGCUCACCUAGGCGACGAUACAUAGCCGACCUGAGAGGGUGAUCGGCCACACUGGGACUGAGACACGGCCCAGACUCCUACGGGAGGCAGCAGUAGGGAAUCUUCGGCAAUGGGGGCAACCCUGACCGAGCAACGCCGCGUGAGUGAAGAAGGUUUUCGGAUCGUAAAGCUCUGUUGUAAGUCAAGAACGAGUGUGAGAGUGGAAAGUUCACACUGUGACGGUAGCUUACCAGAAAGGGACGGCUAACUACGUGCCAGCAGCCGCGGUAAUACGUAGGUCCCGAGCGUUGUCCGGAUUUAUUGGGCGUAAAGCGAGCGCAGGCGGUUUGAUAAGUCUGAAGUUAAAGGCUGUGGCUCAACCAUAGUUCGCUUUGGAAACUGUCAAACUUGAGUGCAGAAGGGGAGAGUGGAAUUCCAUGUGUAGCGGUGAAAUGCGUAGAUAUAUGGAGGAACACCGGUGGCGAAAGCGGCUCUCUGGUCUGUAACUGACGCUGAGGCUCGAAAGCGUGGGGAGCGAACAGGAUUAGAUACCCUGGUAGUCCACGCCGUAAACGAUGAGUGCUAGGUGUUGGAUCCUUCCCGGGAUUCAGUGCCGCAGCUAACGCAUUAAGCACUCCGCCUGGGGAGUACGACCGCAAGGUUGAAACUCAAAGGAAUUGACGGGGGCCCGCACAAGCGGUGGAGCAUGUGGUUUAAUUCGAAGCAACGCGAAGAACCUUACCAGGUCUUGACAUCCCGAUGCUAUUUCUAGAGAUAGAAAGUUACUUCGGUACAUCGGUGACAGGUGGUGCAUGGUUGUCGUCAGCUCGUGUCGUGAGAUGUUGGGUUAAGUCCCGCAACGAGCGCAACCCCUAUUGUUAGUUGCCAUCAUUCAGUUGGGCACUCUAGCGAGACUGCCGGUAAUAAACCGGAGGAAGGUGGGGAUGACGUCACAUCAUCAUGCCCCUUAUGACCUGGGCUACACACGUGCUACAAUGGUUGGUACAACGAGUUGCGAGUCGGUGACGGCAAGCUAAUCUCUUAAAGCCAAUCUCAGUUCGGAUUGUAGGCUGCAACUCGCCUACAUGAAGUCGGAAUCGCUAGUAAUCGCGGAUCAGCACGCCGCGGUGAAUACGUUCCCGGGCCUUGUACACACCGCCCGCCACACCACGAGAGUUUGUAACACCCGAAGUCGGUGAGGUAACCUUUUGGAGCCAGCCGCCUAAGGUGGGAUAGAUGAUUGGGGUGAAGUCGUAACAAGGUA
rnacentral:rRNA from 1 species